rnacentral:rRNA from 1 species
UGGGGAAUCUUGCACAAUGGGGGCAACCCUGAUGCAGCGACGCCGCGUGAGCGAAGAAGCCUUUCGGGGUGUAAAGCUCUUACGCCAGGGACGAUAAUGACGGUACCUGGAGAAGCAGCUGCGGCUAACUACGUGCCAGCAGCCGCGGUAAUACGUAGGCAGCAAGCGUUGUUCGGAAUUCCUGGGCGUAAAGGGUGCGUAGGCGGCGCCCUAAGUUUGGUGUGAAAUCUCCCGGCUUAACUGGGAGGGUGCACUGAAAACUGGGGCGCUCGAGUAUGGGAGAGGAUAGCGGAAUUCCUGGUGUAGCGGUGAAAUGCGUAGAGAUCAGGAGGAACACCUGCGGUGCAGACGGCUUUCUGGACCAUCACUGACGCUGAGGCACGAAAGCGUGGGUAGCAAACA